rnacentral:sRNA from 1 species
UUAUCAAAUACGGGUGACAGGAUGAGAGCCGCAGGUUCGAUCCGAGCAUACAGUGCGAGGGAGCGAGAAAGCGAAGCGGCAUCGGCCCCGAAGGGGUGAGGCAGAUGGUGCCGAAUAAUCCUGCCGCCUCAGCCA